GGCGUAAUUCAGUGGUAGAGCAUAUGCUUAACAUGCAUGAGGCCCUGGGUUUAAUCCCCAGCACCA
rnacentral:tRNA from 1 species